AAAAAAAUGUGAACUGUACAACUUGUACUAUACUCAACGGGAUCACCAUCUUCCUCUGCCUAAUUGUUAACUGUAUUGCAAUCAGGGAUGUAUUAGCUUUUUCUGGGUUCAAAAAUCUGAACGGGUGAUGUAAAGAGAGAGAGAAAAAAAAAGGGAAAUCAAAUGGUAAGAUUUUCUUGAAUUGCCAGGAAUGAUCCUAUUAUGUUUCCACCAACAUCUGGGAAAUUUGCACAUCCCGUAAGAUUCUUCACCUUGCCUUUGCGAUCAACUUCAACGGGGUAUUUUAAGAGGUGCCCUCUCAUUUCUGUUACUUCAUCAGAUGCGAAUUGCUUCCAGUUAUAUUCACCCAUGGACCUAACCCGUCUUACACAUUCUAAUGACUCCGGCUGUCUGAAGCAGUCCUCAACAACUCCGAGAUGCUCCGCCCACAGAGACAUUCUAUAUCCAUGAAUCUGUCCAUAGGGUGUUGACUGUUUUCUUGCCCAUGUAUGAUGAGGUUGAUAUGCUCCCAUCGCGAUCUCGGUGUCUCUAGUGCCCUCCAGAGAGCGCUGGUUGAUGUUUGCAGAUCCCA
rnacentral:misc_RNA from 1 species